rnacentral:rRNA from 1 species
GCUGGCGGUGCGCCUUAUGCAUGCAAGUCGAGCGAAGCUUUUCAGUAGUUUACUACAGAAAAUGACUGAGCGGCGAACGGGUGAGUAACGCGUGAGCAAUCUACCUUAGUUACAGGGAUAGCCCGAGGAAACUCGGAUUAAUACCUGAUAUUCUUUACAUUUCGCAUGAAAUUAAAAGGAAAGGUCAGCCGAACUAAGAUGAGCUCGCGUUCUAUCAGCUAGUUGGUGAGGUAAUAGCUCACCAAGGCAACGACGGAUAGCUGGUCUGAGAGGACGAUCAGCCACACUGGGACUGAGACACGGCCCAGACUCCUACGGGAGGCUGCAGCAGGGAAUAUUGUGCAAUGAACGAAAGUUUGACACAGCGACACCGCGUGUGGGAUGACGGAUCUAGGUUUGUAAACCACUUUCAGGAGGGAAGAAAAUGACGGUACCUCCACAAGAAGCCCCGGCCAACUACGUGCCAGCAGCCGCGGUAAUACGUAGGGGGCGAGCGUUGUCCGGAUUUAUUGGGCGUAAAGAGCUCGUAGGCGGUUCAACAAGUCGGUCGUAAAGGUUCAGGGCUCAACCCUGAAAUGUCGAUCGAUACUGUUGUGACUAGGAUAC